AACGAACGCUGGCGGCAGGCCUCAAACAUGCAAGUCUAGGGGGUGUAGCAAUACAUCACCGGCGGACGGGUGCGUAACACGUGGGAAUAUACCUUUUGGUUCGGAACAACGCAGGGAAACUUGCGCUAAUACCGAAUGUGCCCUUACGGGGAAAGAUUUAUCGCCAAAGGAUUAGCCCGCGUAGGAUUAGCUAGUUGGUGAGGUAAUGGCUCACCAAGGCUCCGAUCCUUAGCUGUUCUGAGAGGAAGAUCAGCCACACUGGGACUGA
rnacentral:rRNA from 1 species